UGGGGCGGGAGAGGCCUGAGCGGGAGAGGGCUGCAGAAGAGUCCCUGGAGGGGCCCGCUCUCGCGAGAUCCCUGGAAGUUACUAGUUACUGUUGCCCAGAGAGGGGCGCGCCGGAGGACCGGGGACUCCAGCGCCGAGCGCAGUUGGCCUGACACGUCACACCCAGACAGUUUCAUCCUCUGGCGAUGCUUUGAAAGUCCUUACGGAAUUUCAUCCCUGAUGACUAAAAUUCAAGAACUUGACCCUUAGGUCAUCCCAUUUUAAGGAUGAGAAAACGCAGGUCCUGAGGGGGUAACUGACGUGACCUAUUCCCGAUCACCCAGGUAGCGGUAGAUUCUAAUUGGAAGGGCAGAGGAGCUGGAGGAGGGAAGCGCCUCUGGAGGAGAGAACCAACUGGUUACUUACUAAAGAAGAAAGUAUCUUCGCGUGAGAGAGAUCACGGCCAACUAGGUACUCCAACACAGCGUGGCCGGAGAGCUCCCGGACGUGACGCGGAGCGGACGCGAAGACAACGGCCCGGCCAACGUGUGUAAUUUGUCUCUACUCACGAGGAAACAAUCGGACGAAUCAAAAUUGAGACAUGCUGCAACACAACCUCCUGGUUUCUUCUAAAAUGUAAAUUUCAUGAAAAAGUAAGAAAAAAGCUUAAUGAACUGUUGCCAGAUUAAAGGAGACAAAAGAAAGAUGUGGCAUUCAUUACAAGCAAUGUGAUCCUACAUUGGACCAUGGAUCAAAAACAAACAAAAUAGCUAUUGAGGAACAUUACUGGGACAAUUGAGAACAUUUGACUAUAGAUCAUAUUAAUAUUACAACAAUGUAACAUUUUCUGAGGGCAAUGGUUGUAUCUUUGUUAGGCAGAAACGCCUUGUUUUUAGGAGAUACCCUCUGAAGUGUUCAGAAGUGAAAUAGCAUGUGUCUACAACUAAAAUGGUAAAAAAAAAUGAAAAAUGUACAAAAUGUUAACUGGUGAAUCUAGGUAAAAGAUGUAUGGGUGGUCAGUGCAUUAUUCUUGGAACUUUCCUGUAAGUUUUUAAAUGUUCAAAAUAAGUUGGAGAGAAAAAAAACUCCACAAAAUCCUUGAUGUUCAGUCCAUAAUACCAGGUUGCUGCUUAAAUCACUAGGCAAUGGCAAAUAGCAUUGUUUGCCUCCCAUGUGUAAUGCAUUUCAGGCUAAUAAGAAAUAAGGAACAUAAAUGCUCCCAAAGGACUCUUAAUGUAGAACUUGGACAGAUACCUGCCGAAUGCCAAAUAUGAUCAAUGUAACAAGCAAAGCAGUAUAACUUAGCUGAAUAAAAUUAAUGUUGGAGUUAAAA